rnacentral:rRNA from 1 species
GAUGAACGCUGGCGGCGUGCCUAAUACAUGCAAGUCGAACGAACAGAUAAGGAGCUUGCUCCUUUGACGUUAGCGGCGGACGGGUGAGUAACACGUGGAUAACCUACCUAUAAGACUGGGAUAACUUCGGGAAACCGGAGCUAAUACCGGAUAACAUAUUGAACCGCAUGGUUCAAUAGUGAAAGGCGGCUUUGCUGUCACUUAUAGAUGGAUCCGCGCCGUAUUAGCUAGUUGGUAAGGUAACGGCUUACCAAGGCAACGAUACGUAGCCGACCUGAGAGGGUGAGCGGCCACACUGGGACUGAGACACGGUCCAGACGACGACGGGAGGCAGCAGUAGGGAAGCUGCCGGAAUGGGCGAAAGCCGGACGCAGCAACGAAGCGUGAAUGAUGAAGGUCUUCGGAUCGUAAAACACUGUUAUGAGGGAAGAACAUAAGGGUAAGUAACUGGACACAUCUGGACGGUAACUAAUCAGAAAGACACGGCUAACUGCGUG